rnacentral:rRNA from 1 species
GGACCCGCACAAGUAGUGGAGCAUGUGGUUUAAUUCGAAGAUACGCGCAGAACCUUACCAACACUUGACAUGUUCGUCGCGACUCUAAGAGAUUAGAGUUUUCGGUUCGGCCGGACGAAACACAGGUGCUGCAUGGCUGUCGUCAGCUCGUGUCGUGAGAUGUUGGGUUAAGUCCCGCAACGAGCGCAACCCUCACUUUUAGUUGCCAUCAUUAAGUUGGGCACUCUGAAAGAACUGCCAGUGAUAAGCUGGAGGAAGGUGGGGAUGACGUCAAGUCCUCAUGGCCCCUUACGAGUAGGGCUACACACGUGCUACAAUGGGGGAAUACAGACGGACGCUAAGCCGCGAGUGGUG